rnacentral:rRNA from 1 species
UACGAGAGACCCGAACGUUAUUCGGAAUUACUGGGCUUACAGAGUUCGUAGGCGGCUCAGAAAGUUGGGUGUGAAAUCCCUCGGCUCAACCGAGGAAUUGCGCUCAAAACUACUGAGCUUGAGGGGUAUAGAGGUAAGCGGAACUGAUGGUGGAGCGGUGAAAUGCGUUGAUAUCAUCAGGAACACCGGUGGCGAAGGCGGCUUACUGGGUACCUCCUGACGCUGAGACGCGAAAGCGUGGGGAGCAAACAGG